rnacentral:lncRNA from 1 species
GCCUGAUUCGUCCCUCCACCUUUCCCUUGGGCGCAGGGUUCUUCUUUGUUUCAAAGAAGGAUGGUUCCCUGCGUCCUUGCAUCGACUAUUGAGGUUUAAAUCAAAUCGCUGUCAAGAAUAAAUACCGGCUUCUCCUUUGACACAGUUAACUUCUGUAAAAAGAGCUUUUGUGUGGUCAGCUAACGCUGAAAAGGCUUUUCAGGAGUUAAAGACUUGUUUCACUCAAGCCCCUGUUUUGGUUCGUCCUGAUCCGUCCAUUCAGUUUACCAUGGAAGUUGAUGCUUCAGGUUAUGGUGUUGGUGCUGUCUUAUCCCAAACAUUGUCCUCGGAUAACCUACUUCACCCCUGUGCUUUCUUCUCUAAGAAACUCUCUCAGGCAGAGCAGAAGUACAACACGGUAGAUCGAGAGCUGCUAGCCAUCAAAUUGGCCCUGGAGGAGUGGCGCCAUUGGCUAUAAGGUUCAGAGCAUCCCAUCAUAAUCUGGACGGAUCAUAAAAAUCUCGCCUACCUGAAGGAGGCCAAGAGGUUCAAUCCCAGACAGUCCCAGUGGUCCCUGUUCUUUACUCGCUUCAAUUUUAUCAUCUCUUACACCCCUGGAACCAAGAACAUCAAACCAGAUGCUCUAUCCUGCCAGUACGCCUCAGACAGAGAUCUCAAACCUGCCACUAUUCUUUCCCAUCCUGUGUUGUAGGAGCUGUUUCCUGAGACAUUACUAACAAGGUACUGGACGCCCAAUGCACAGAUCCUGACCCGGGUAAUGGUCCUUCCCAUAAACUGUUUGUCCCUCAACAAGUACGAGGAGCCGUCAUUCGCUGGGUACACACCGCCAAGUUUUCAAUUCACCCUGGAAUUGGUGGCACUCUCGCCCUGAUCCGCAGGUCAUUCUGGUGGCCCUCUAUGUUUAAGGACACAAUGGAGGACAUCAACGCCUACCAGGUCUGUGCCCGGAGUAAGACCACCAACCAACCCUCGGUGGGACUUCGAAACCCUCUCCCCAUUUCCUCUCGUCUAUGGCCUCACAUAGCGGUAGACUUUGUCACCGGCCUGCCCCUCUCCAAAGGUUUUUCUGCCAUCUUUACCAUCAUCGACAGAUUUUCAAAGGCCUGCCAUUUCAUCCCUGUGAAGUCCCUUCCGUCCUCCACUGAGACUGCUAACCUCUUAAUACAACAUGUCUUCAUACUGCAUGGCAUCCUGUUGGAGAUCCUGUCAGACCGCGGUCCCCAAUUCCUCUCCAGGGUCUGGAAUGAGUUUGCCACCUUAUUGGGGGCCCGUGUUUCCCUGAGUUCUGGUUACCUCCCCCAAACUAAUGGCCAGUGCGAACGGCUCAAUCAAGAGUUGGAGGCAAUGCUCCGUUGUGUGCGCUCCUCUAACCCUACUAGCUGGAGUACCCAACUACCCUGGAUUGAGUAUGCUCACAACACCCAUGUUUCUACUGCAAUCAACCAGUGCCAGAUGAUACCAGUCUUGGUUCUAUUCAGUACUUGCUUUCUGCAAUAUCAGCGGAACCAUCAUCAACAUUCCAAUCCCACCGUUUGCCCCUGAUCGCCUGCUCUAUGCCACUCACCUGCCCACCUGCACCUCCUUGGUCUCCCUGCUCAGCCAGGCCUGGCAUACCCUCCCCGAAGAACCCAGCUCAUCCAGGAAACCGUAAGCCCUUUGCCUUCCUCGUCAUCCUCUCACGUUAUCCCAGACUCUGACCUCUCUUCCUCUCUCAGAACCCAACGGAUCCAUUUCCUGUCCCUCGGAAGCAGCUUCUUACCUCACCAUACAAAUAAACCAUUUUUUACUUACCUUCCAACUCCUGGUGGUGAUUCUUCAUGUCGUGGGUUAAGAAAUUGCCUUCAAACAUGACAGACUGCAGAGUCUUGACCUGAAGAGGUAGCUCUCCUGUGUUGUGCCAUGCUCUUGUGUAAUUGUUGUUUAGUUCCUCCAAUGUAAAGAUCUGGACAGUCCUCACUAUACUGGACUGCAUAAAUGACGCCACUGAGCUUCUGUUUGGGUGUUUUGUCUUCUGGAUGGACCAGGUUCUGUCUGAGGGUGUUGUUGGGUUUAAGUUUUCCGGGAUGUUGUGUUUGGAGAAGAUUCUUCUAAGUUUCUCUGAGACUCCCGCCACGUAUGUGAUGAUGGUGCCUUUGUGUAAAGGGUGUUGUUGUUAGGUUGGUAGCAGAGCUCUCAUGUUUAGUGUUAAGUUCAGUGAGAUCAUGGAAUGGGAUCAAGAAUUUUCUACUGACAGGAAAAAGAUCUCAGCUAACAUAGCUGUAGAUCACACUGGUUAAGUCUCUUUGGUUACAUUUAUUUUACUGCCUCUUACUAGAGCUUUGUUUAGUGAGCACAACAUUAGUUUGGUUGUACACCUGUGCAAUGAUAAUAAAUGAUCUUGAAUACUGUUAAAUGUACUAACCCUAACCCUUUUAAGUCUAAAAUAACAAAACGACCAAUACAGACAGAAGGACAACCUCUUUUAUAAUGCGUUGCAUCACCACCUGGUAUCAGAACAGGACUCAGUAUUGGAAGAUAAUCAAAAAUCCAACAACUUGGACUCAGAUCAGGGGCAAAAAUGUGGUUGUAACAUCUCUAGGUGUAAGUCAGCUUUAAACAGAAUUAUUUAUGAACUGACAUAAACUUCAAUUAAUGACAACAAAUGAUAUAUUUUUCCUACUUUAUUUUGUUAUUUGAAACCAAGGGUCUCAUUAUUUGAAACUAGUCGGAUCGUGAAUCUGUUUAAAAGCUUUGCUCUAUAGGUGCCCCUUUUUUUUUACUUUGAGCGCCCGCCCCUUCAAAGGCCUCUGCACGGCCCUGCGAGGUGGGCUGUAGCCAAUGACUGCAGCUCUUGCUUUGUUACGCUCUUCAUUGUGUGAGUUUUCUUCUGUGCAAGUUUUUAACACCCUUAUGCUAAAGCUAGCUCUCUUACUGCAGUGCACUUCACACAAAUCUGAUUUCAGUUCAUAUUUUAUUUUACAACAACGAGAACCCCCAGAACCUCCUGCUCCCCGAUCAUACACCCCACGUUGCCGAGGUAACCAGACUGAAUGACAGCUCAGAAGAGGCUGCAUUCAGACAUUUCCAAGUAAAACUAACUCCAAACAGAACGACUCCUGAAAUGUAAAAUAUAAAUGACAACCCAUUAGUGUAUAAUUUUAUCACAUUCAAUGAUUUAUUUAUUCCCGACGGGAACCUCUCCUCUAUCCCGACUGUGUUUAUAACUUUUGCUACUUGUUUGGUUCUUUUGCGCUCCUGGAGCCAGUGAUUUAUUUUUUGGGAAAAACCCAGGGAACUCCCUCAUGUGCUGAGGACGUAGCGUGCCCAAAUAUGGUCAACUGAGGGUGUUUUUGUGUGUAAAUGACAAUGAAUGGACACGAGCACCUGGGUACACUCAGGUGGGAUUUAUCAUCAGACGACUGCGGAGGAACACGCGUACGAGAGGCCACCGCGCGUUUCAUUGAUAGGUUUUUGACUGUUCAUGCAAACAUUCUAAAUGUCAUUUGUAGAAAGGAAUAUAGGACCGUUUGAUAAAUGAGGGCCCAGGUGUUUCUCCAACUUCUUGGGUUCCACCUUCCUUCCUGUUUCUUUCACUUGGAUAACCACCAAUGAUGUGCAUAAACGAACAAGUGUUGUGUCACUGCUCUUCUCUGUCGGCCCUGACAGGAGUUUUACAGAAGAUUACCACCAGAACCAGAAACAGGAGACAUUCUCAGUAAACCUGUCAUUUCACUUGUUAUUGCAUUGUGUUUGUGUCCUGGGACACAGAACGAUAAUUACUGUAUUAUCUAAAUAUUCCAUAAUAGAAAGUAAAAUGUUGUUUUAUUCAGUUGUGUUCUGUUCGAUUCUAUUUAAAUCAAUUAAAUUUGAUUAAAUUCAAUUCAAUUCAGUUUGGUUCUGUUAUGAUCUAUUCUAUUCUAUUCUAUUUAAAAGAAUUAGAUUCGAUUUGAUUCGAUUUUUUACAGCAACCUCGGUGUUGGGUUCCAACGUGUGUAACAAUAAAUGUUUCACAAAACCCGACUUAAAAAACAACAAAUGUGUCUUGUAUUGGAAACUAAAUCCACCAAACUUCAUACAUAUUUUACUCAGAAAUGCUGCUGGCUCUGGAGAGCGGUGCUGCUGUGUGUCACAGACAAGUUACCCCGAUGGGUGGAAUCGAUCCAUUGUUUAUUCUGGUCCUGUGAGAUUUGUUUGGAAAGUUUAGAAAUGAGAAAUGACCCACCAGUUUUGUCCGAGUUACAGAGCAGUGUCUCCUUCUCAGCUCUGAGCCCGGGGCUGGGCCCAUGCUUCAUCCACGUUGCUAUGGUGAAAUGGUCUGUCAGGUUCUGGGGUACCACCCAGUCUGGGAUUUUAGCAGCCUGAUGACCAUCAAACCUGAAGAUCAAGUCAGUGUCCCUUCCACUGUCAGUCACCAGGGAAGCAGUCCAAUUGGUGGCCGCGCUGGGGGCGGGGAGAAGGUCGGUGCUGCCAGAUGAGGCGCCUGGGGUUUAUCGCCGUGGGAACAAACAAAAAGAGUGACAGAAGAUGUGUCAAUGACAAUCACGGCAGAUAUGUAGAGUAUAUUGCUCUCUCCUUGGCUCUGAUUGCUUGUGAGUAUGGGAGAAGCCAGGGCUUAAUAUGUAAUCAAUGACCCGAGAUGGACUGAAGAUGCAAGUAUUGAUUCAUGCAAACGAAAACCAACUAAAAGAAGAGAGAUGUGAGUAGCUGUCCAUAAAUUGCUCACAGCAGAGCUGCAGAGAUGACACGCUAACAGAGGUCUGUGGUUACACAAACAUAGAAAAAGUGGCAUGAAAGUCUGAGGAAGACAGAAAUAUGAGAUAUGCCAGCUGACCACGUGAGAAUGUUGGAGUUAAAUAAUCCUAAAGUGCACCAAUCAUUCCUGCUCUGCAUUGAGUCAUUCCAUUCAUUUUGUCUUUGCCGCCGCGUCCAUCAACACUUUUACUCAAUAAUCUCAGAACACUGAGUUAUGAGCAGGCUUUGUAUCCCUCCUGUCACCUUGACAAACCAUAUUCUUGCCACACUGCUCAUCUUGUGCCUUGACAUUUCAGUGUUUACUGAUUUAUCUGUGUCUUUUUAUCUGUCUGUGGAAAACAUUUCAUUUAAAUAAGCAGCAUAUUGAAACUAUUUGCUGCUGCUCAUGUCUGGUGAUACAUAAAAAAGAGCACUGAAGUCAGUAAUGAUUAAAUAAAAUUAUUCUAGUUAAAUAUUUAAAACUUGUCACCUUUAAUGUUUUCCAGGUCUCCUCAUGCGUAAACCUGGAAUUGUUCUUCUUUUCUUAAAGAGUGAGAUUCUUCAGAGGCACAUAGCUACAAGCUGUAUCCUAAUUGUUUUAAGCCGGUGUCGGUACAAGAUCGGCUCGGGGCAGUCGACUGCAGAUGACGUCAAAGUAGUUGAUUGGCUGAACAUGAACCUUACGUAAUCACGUUAUGUUGUUAUCACGUUACGUUGUUAUCAUGUUACGUUGUUAUCAUGUUACGUUGUUAUCACGUUACGUUGUUAUCACGUUACGUUGUUAUCACGUUACGUUGUUAUCACGUUACGUUGU